rnacentral:rRNA from 1 species
AAUAGAUACCCUGGUAGUCCAUGCCGUAAACGUUGGGAACUAGAUGUAGGGCCUGUUCCGACGGGUUUCGUGUGUCGUAGCUAACGCAUUAAGUUCCCCGCCUGGGGAGUACGGCCGCAAGGCUAAAACUCAAAGGAAUUGACGGGGGCCCGCACAAGCGGCGGAGCAUGCGGAUUAAUUCGAUGCAACGCGAAGAACCUUACCAAGGCCUGACAUAUAGAAGAACGCGCCAGAAAUGGUGAACUCUUUGGGCACUUCUAUACAGGUGGUGCAUGGUUGUCGUCAGCUCGUGUCGUGAGAUGUUCGGUUAAGUCUGGCAACGAGCGCAACCCUCGUCCUAUGUUGCCAGCGGGUUAUGCCGGGGACUCAUGGGAUACUGCCGUGGUCAACACGGAGGAAGGUGGGGAUGACGUCAAAUCAUCAUGCCCCUUAUGUCUUGGGCUUCACGCAUGCUACAAUGGCCGGUACAGAGGGUUGCGAUACCGCGAGGUGGAGCGAAUCCCAAAAAGCCGGUCUCAGUUCGGAUUGGGGUCUGCAACCG